GGCGAACGCUGGCGGCGUGCUUAACACAUGCAAGUCGAGCGGUAAGGCCCUUUCGGGGGUACGACGAGCGGCGAACGGGUGAGUAACACGUGGGUGACCUGCCCUCAGCUCUGGGAUAAGCCUGGGAAACCGGGUCUAAUACUGGAUAUGACUCCAUGACGCAUGUUGUGGGGUGGAAAGCCUUGUGCGGCUGAGGAUGGGCCCGCGGCCUAUCAGCUUGUUGGUGGGGUGAGG
rnacentral:rRNA from 1 species